UCGAUGGCGACCGGCGCACGGGUGAGUAACACGUAUCCAACCUGCCGAUGACUCGGGGAUAGCCUUUCGAAAGAAAGAUUAAUACCCGAUGGCAUAGUUCUUCCGCAUGGUAGAACUAUUAAAGAAUUUCGGUCAUCGAUGGGGAUGCGUUCCAUUAGGUUGUUGGCGGGGUAACGGCCCACCAAGCCUUCGAUGGAUAGGGGUUCUGAGAGGAAGGUCCCCCACAUUGGAACUGAGACACGGUCCAA
rnacentral:rRNA from 1 species